rnacentral:lncRNA from 1 species
GGUUGGAGGACUGGAGGCGGCUGGGCUACUACUGCUCGUGUCGAGAGGAAGAAGAGGAGGAGGAUCGAUUGGAGUAGAGUUGCGGCGAUGGAAUGGAAUGGGAGGAUGGGCUGUGCGUGCGCUGGAUGAGUUGCACUGCCUCUUGCUCUCUCUCUAUUGUAUCCUGUUUGUCUGGUCUCUUGGGUUGGCAACCCGCAGCGGCUCUUCUCGGUGUUCAUAUAUAGCCGCCCGGCCGGCCGGGGGCCGCCGGGCCGGACCGGGCCGGCGCGCGCGAGGAUUCGGGAACCGGGGGACGCUGCCUGCCUGCCUG